CCCAGUAUUUUCAGGCCUUGUGAGUGCUCUACAGGGAGUGGAAUUGGACUUAGAGUUGAAAUUGGACUUUGGGGUGAAGAUGAAUUUGGCAAUUGACAUUAUGAAUCACAAAGAUGUGGAUGAGUACAAACUAUUGGUUGCAUUGGAGAAUGGAUUGGAGUUGGAUGAUCAACUGAAAAUGGAUUUUGAAUCGCGAAGUAGAGCAGUGUUAAUGCUAAUAGGGAAGGAAAGCAGCGGAACGGAAACUAAGUUACCCGCUCAAGAAUGUGAUUCAAGUGAAAAAUGUUCAUGUUCAUGUGACUGCCUACUAGAUGUCCUUGGGUACUUAUGGAGAUUAAUCAGGAUUUAGAAUGGUGACACUGCAUUAAUCAUGAUCAUGAUCUCAGGAAUAUCUGCUGUAAUGGCUUUAAUUUUGUAAGAGAAGUUGAAAAAACAAAGAGAAGACAAGGCAACUCCAGUUACCUAGUAGCUUGAAGAUGAGAAGGUACCUUACAAAUCAAGGAGCAGAGAUUCACCUUCAAAGGAAGAAGCAGGGGUAUUUUGAUUAGUGAGACUACUGGUUUUCUCAAGUUUCCAUAAGAUAAAAAAAAUCAAACUCA